UGACAUUCCAUUACUGUGCUCUGAUGCUUGGCAAAACUUAAAUCUACAGGUUUAAGGAAAUGGAAAGUCUUAUGUAAGGACUGGAACACCAGAGAGUUGAUAGGAAGGUGACAGGUGGAUUGGCUAUUAAUUGCAGCUGCUCAGCUGAGGCAGAAGAGUGUUCCAGAGGACAUCUGCAGGCUGCAGAAACGUGAGUUUGUGUGAACAGCCUGACAUGAGGGUGAAUCAUAGGCAAUAAGUAGAAACUUAUGUUUAUAAUCCUCCCCUCCAACUACAGAGGGCAGAACCGUAACCAAGAAUGUUUCUGAAAGCUAGGAAAUUUUGUCUGCUAUGGAAGUUGGAGAAAUGACACCCUGUCUGCAGUGUUUUACAAUUCUGAAGUAAGCAGUUUCAAGCGUACUGAAAAGCACAGGCUCUUCUAGUCAGCUCUUACUCUUUGCUCUCUGCCAUGUUAUGAAAACAGAAUUUGAACUUGAAUUCCAUGAUUUGAAAAAGAGGAUCUGCAGACGAGUUAAAACUGCAGAGGAUAAACUGAUAUCCAAGAAGAUAUUUUUGAAACCAAUCUUCAUGUCAGUUUCUUGAAAAAAGGAAAGCAUUUACAAGUUUACCUGUGAUCUGUAGGAACAGUGGUUGCAAACAGUUCAGAAGUUAAUUGCCACAGCAUCCUCUCCUCUCCUUCCCCCCACCUUUCCUGGCCUCUUUCUCCAGAGCUGGUGUUCUCCAGGGAAACAAGUGGAAUGGUUUCCUUUCACAACGAAACAGUAAGGAGAUGGCCAAAGCAAGAGCCUA
rnacentral:lncRNA from 1 species